CCCGCAGGGCUCCGGGCGGCCGUGACCCUGCUGGAGUGCGGGGGGGACCUCCAGCCCCCCGGGGGGUCCCUGCGCCUCCUCUGCCGAGGGUCCGGGUUCAGUUUCGGCAGUGUUGGCAUGGGCUGGUAUCGGCAGAGACCCGGGCAGACACUGGAAUACAUCGCCAGUAUCACCAGCAGUGGCAGCGCCUACUACGCAGAUUCGGUCAAGGGCCGGUUCACGAUCUCCAGGGACAACGGGCAGAGCUCGGUGACGCUGACCAUGAACAGCCUCAAGGACGAGGAUUCCGGAUCCUAUUUCUGUGCCAAACGUGCUUAUGCUGAUAAUUGGAGUCCUGGUGCUUCUGCUCAGGACGCCAAUGUUGGAUGCCUCCCCACCUCAGUGUCCCCUCCUGUCCCCAAUCCCCAGACCCUUCACCCAAAUCUCAUCCCUUGGCCCCAUUCUUGA